rnacentral:misc_RNA from 1 species
GAUGAAGAACGCAGCAAAAUGCGAUAAGUAAUGUGAAUUGCAGAAUUCCGUGAAUCAUCGAAUCUUUGAACGCACAUUGCGCCUUCUGGUAAUCCGGGAGGCAUGCCUGUCUGAGCGUCAUUACAUCAUUCAAAACACAUUCUUUUGAUAUGUGCUUUGGUUGUGGAUGGUUGACUAUAUCUGUAGUCUCGUCUGUAAUGUAUUGACUAUACAUUUGUAGCUUUAGUUGUAGCAAUCAAAGUUGACAACUUUAAAGUGCACAUCUGUUGGUUUAGCUUUUUAAGGUUUGCAUUCUUUUAAACCUUUUUAGUUUGACCUCAGAUCAGGUAGGAAUACCCGCUGAACUUAAGCAUAUCAAUAAGCGGAGGA